UUGGGGGGACGCAGGAAGGUAGAUGAACCCGGUGAAUGGUAGAACCGGGGUAAGCGUGUAGGAGGAGGACCAGGUAAAUCCGGGCCUCAUAAACUCUGAGACGUGAUACCGAGCCGCUUCAGGCGAAGUCAUUGAUCCUAUGCUGCCUAGAAAAGCCCAGCAGCGAGUUGACAUGGUGCCCGUACCCCAAACCAACACAGGUGGACAGGUAGAGCAUACCAAGGCGAGUGGGAUAACUAUGGUUAAGGAACUCGGCAAAUUGCCUCCGUAACUUCGGGAGAAGGAGGACCCCAGUAGCGUGAUGAGACUUGCUCUCUGAGCGUGAAGGGGUGGCACAAAAUUGAGGGAAGCGACUGUUUACCAAAAACACAGCAGCGUGCUAAGCCGUAAGGCGCUGUAUACGCUGUGACUCCUGCCCGGUGCUGGAAGGUUACGGGGAUGGGUUAGUCCUUCGGGACGAAGCUCUGAACCUAAGCCCCAGUAAACGGCGGCCGUAACUAUAACGGUCCUAAGGUAGCGAAAUUCCUUGUCGGGUAAGUUCCGACCUGCACGAAUGGAGUAACGACUUCCCUACUGUCUCAACCAUAGACCCAGCGAAAUUGAAGUACGAGUAAAGAUGCUCGUUAGCUGCAGAAGGACGGUAAGACCCCGUGGACCUUUACUAUAACUUGAUGUUGUGUUUUGUCAUAUGUUGUGUAGGAUAGGUGGGAGACUUGGAAGCAUGGACGCUAGUCUGUGUGGAGUCAUCGUUGAAAUACCACCCUGCAUAUGGUGAGGCUCUAACCUAGACCCGUUAUCCGGGUUGGGGACAGCGUCAGGCGGGUAGUUUAACUGGGGCGGUUGCCUCCUAAAGAGUAACGGAGGCGCCCAAAGGUUCCCUCAGCCUGGUUGGCAAUCAGGCGUUGAGUGCAAUGGCAAAAGGGAGCUUGACUGCGAGACCUACAAGUCGAGCAGGAGCGAAAGCUGGGCAUAGUGAUCCGGCGGUUGCGUGUGGAAGCGCCGUCGCUCAACGGAUAAAAGGUACCCCGGGGAUAACAGGCUAAUCUUGCCCAAGCGUCCAUAGCGACGGCAAGGUUUGGCACCUCGAUGUCGGCUCAUCGCAUCCUGGGGCUGAAGCAGGUCCCAAGGGUUGGGCUGUUCGCCCAUUAAAGCGGUACGCGAGCUGGGUUCAGAACGUCGUGAGACAGUUCGGUCCCUAUCCUCUGCAGCCGGAGGUGAAUUGAGGAAAGCUGUCCCUAGUACGAGAGGACCGGGACGGACGCAGCUCUCGUGUGCCAGUUGUCCUGCCAAGGGCAUGGCUGGUUAGCGACCUGCGGAAAGGAUAACCGCUGAAAGCAUCUAAGCGGGAAGCCUCUUCCAAGAUGAAUUCACCCACAGGGUUAACCUGGUAAGGCCCGUGGUAGACCACCACGUUGAUAGGCCGGAAGUGUAAGCGUGGCAACGCGUUCAGCUGACCGGUACUAAUCGGCCGAGGGCUUGA
rnacentral:rRNA from 1 species